UCCGCACUGGUGUAACGGCUAGCAUACCGAGCUUUCAUUUGAGAGCUCCUCGGAGACCGGGGUUCGACUCCCCGGUGCGGAA
rnacentral:tRNA from 1 species